CCUACGGGCGACUGCAGUGAGGAAUAUUGGUCAAUGGACGCGAGUCUGAACCAGCCAAGUAGCGUGAAGGAUGACUGCCCUAUGGGUUGUAAACUUCUUUUAUAUGGGAAUAAAGUGUUCCACGUGUGGGAUUUUGUAUGUACCAUAUGAAUAAGGAUCGGCUAACUCCGUGCCAGCAGCCGCGGUAAUACGGAGGAUCCGAGCGUUAUCCGGAUUUAUUGGGUUUAAAGGGAGCGUAGGUGGGUUGUUAAGUCAGUUGUGAAAGUUUGCGGCUCAACCGUAAAAUUGCAGUUGAAACUGGCAGUCUUGAGUACAGUAGAGGUAGGCGGAAUUCGUGGUGUAGCGGUGAAAUGCUUAGAUAUCACGAAGAACUCCGAUUGCGAAGGCAGCUUACUGGACUGCAACUGACACUGAGGCUCGAAAGUGUGGGUAUCAAACAGGAUUAGAUACCCGGGUAGUC
rnacentral:rRNA from 1 species